rnacentral:rRNA from 1 species
GCUGGCGGUAGGCUUAACACAUGCAAGUCGAGCGAGAAAGUAUCUUCGGAUAUGAGUAGAGCGGCGGACGGGUGAGUAACGCGUAGGAAUCUACCUAGUAGAAGGGGAUAGCCCGGGGAAACUCGGAUUAAUACCGUAUACCUCCUUAGGGAGAAAGAGGGCCUCUCUUGAAGCUCUCGCUAUUAGAUGAGCCUGCGUAAGAUUAGCUUGUUGGUAAGGUAAUGGCUUACCAAGGCUACGAUCUUUAGCUGGUCUGAGAGGACGAUCAGCCACAUUGGGACUGAGACACGGCCCAGACUCCUACGGGAGGCAGCAGUGGGGAAUAUUGGACAAUGGGCGCAAGCCUGAUCCAGCCAUACCGCGUGUGUGAAGAAGGCCUUCGGGUUGUAAAGCACUUUAAGCAGGGAGAAAAAGCUAUAGGUUAAUACCCUACAGCCUUGAUGUUACCUGCAGAAUAAGCACCGGCUAAUUCCGUGCCAGCAGCCGCGGUAAUACGGAAGGUGCAAGCGUUAAUCGGAAUUACUGGGCGUAAAGCGCGCGUAGGUGGUUUGUUAAGUUGGAUGUGAAAGCCCUGGGCUCAACCUAGGAACUGCAUCCAAAACUAAUUCACUAGAGUACGAUAGAGGGAGGUAGAAUUCAUAGUGUAGCGGUGGAAUGCGUAGAUAUUAUGAAGAAUACCGGUGGCGAAGGCGGCCUCCUGGAUCUGUACUGACACUGAGGUGCGAAAGCGUGGGUAGCGAACAGGAUUAGAUACCCUGGUAGUCCACGCCGUAAACGAUGACAACUAGCUGUUGGAAAACAAUGUUUUUCAGUGGCGCAGCUAACGUUUUAAGUUGUCCGCCUGGGG